CUUUAUGAUGAUCACCAUAUUCAUAAGCAUAGUUCACCUGAAAUCUUCGGAUUGCUGAACGACAACCAUAUACCAUCUUUCACCUUUAUCUGAUA
rnacentral:snoRNA from 1 species